rnacentral:rRNA from 1 species
GAUGAACGCUGGCGGCGUGCCUAAUACAUGCAAGUCGAGCGAACGGACGAGAAGCUUGCUUUUCUGAUGUUAGCGGCGGACGGGUGAGUAACACGUGGAUAACCUACCUAUAAGACUGGGAUAACUUCGGGAAACCGGAGCUAAUACCGGAUAAUAUUUUGAACCGCAUGGUUCAAAAGUGAAAGACGGUCUUGCUGUCACUUAUAGAUGGAUCCGCGCUGCAUUAGCUAGUUGGUAAGGUAACGGCUUACCAAGGCAACGAUGCAUAGCCGACCUGAGAGGGUGAUCGGCCACACUGGAACUGAGACACGGUCCAGACUCCUACGGGAGGGAGCAGUAGGGAAUCUGCCGCAAUGGGCGAAAGCCUGACGGAGCAACGCCGCGUGAGUGAUGAAGGUCUUCGGAUCGUAAAACUCUGUUAUGAGGGAAGAACAUAUGUGUAAGUAACUGUGCACAUCUUGACGGUACCUAAUCAGAAAGCCACGGCUAACUACGUG